rnacentral:rRNA from 1 species
UACGGAGGGUGCAAGCGUUAAUCGGAAUUACUGGGCGUAAAGCGCGCGUAGGCGGCUUGAUAAGUCGAUUGUGAAAUCCCCGGGCUCAACCUGGGAAUUGCAGUCGAGACUGUCAGGCUAGAGUGUAGGAGAGGGUGGUGGAAUUCCCGGUGUAGCGGUGAAAUGCGUAGAUAUCGGGAGGAACAUCAGUGGCGAAGGCGACCGCCUGGCCUAACACUGACGCUGAGGUGCGAAAGCGUGGGUAGCAAACAGG